UCAGAGGCGACGAAAGACGUGAUAAGCUGCGAUAAGUAUCGGGGAGGUGCAAACAACCUUUGAUCCGAUAAUUUCUGAAUGGGGCAACCCAGCCAAUUUAUUGGUUAUCCAACAAUGUUGGAGGCAAACCCGGAGAACUGAAACAUCUAAGUACCCGGAGGAAGAGAAAACAAAAGUGAUUCCGUUAGUAGUGGCGAUCGAACGCGGAUUAGCCCAAACCAAUAACGUUUCGGCGUUGUUGGGGUUGUAGGACUGCAACAUGAGAUUAUGAGAGAAGUAGAACUACCUGGAAAGGUAGACCAAAGAUGGUGAUAGUCCAGUAUACGUAAUCAAGUAUGAUCUAGCAGUAUCCUGAGUAGGGCGGGGCACGUGAAACCCUGUCUGAAUCUGCCAGGACCAUCUGGUAAGGCUAAAUACUCCUAAGAGACCGAUAGAGAACCAGUACCGUGAGGGAAAGGUGAAAAGUACCCCGAACAGGGGAGUGAAAAAGUACCUGAAACCAUACGCUUACAAGCGGUCGGAGCAUGUUUACAUGUGACGGCGUGCCUUUUGCAUAAUGAGCCUACGAGUUACUCCUCACUGGCAAGGUUAAGAGUUUAAGACUCGGAGCCGAAGCGAAAGCGAGUCUGAAUAGGGCGCUUAAGUCAGUGGGGGUAGACGCGAAACCGUGUGAUCUACCCAUGGGCAGGUUGAAGUCUUGGUAACACAAGAUGGAGGACCGAACCAGGGAGCGUUGAAAAGCUCUUGGAUGACCUGUGGGUAGGGGUGAAAGGCCAAUCAAACUCGGAAAUAGCUCGUACUCCCCGAAAUGCAUUUAGGUGCAGCCUUGGAGUAUAGUAUUGCAGAGGUAGAGCUACUGAUUGGAUGCGAGGGCUUCACCGCCUAUCAACUCCAGACAAACUCCGAAUGCUGCAAUAUGUUAACCAGGAGUGAGGGCAUGGGUGCUAAGGUCCAUGUCCGAAAGGGAAAGAACCCGGACCAUCAGCUAAGGUCCCCAAGUGUAUGUUAAGUUGAACAAACGAGGUCUGAUUGCAUAGACAGCUAGGAUGUUGGCUUGGAAGCAGCCAUUCAUUUAAAGAGUGCGUAACAGCUCACUAGUCGAGCGAUCGGGCAUGGAUAAUAAUCGGGCAUCAAACAUACCACCGAAGCUAUGGAUUUAGUAUGUAAAUACUGAGUGGUAGGGGAGCAUUCUAAUUGCGUUGAAUGUGUACUGUGAGGUAUGCUGGAGCGAUUAGAAAAGCAAAUGUAGGCAUAAGUAACGAUAAGGGGGGCGAGAAACCCCCCCGCCGAUAGACUAAGGUUUCCUGAUCAACGCUAAUCGGAUCAGGGUUAGUCGGGACCUAAGGGGUAGCCGAACGGCGAACUCGAUGGACAACGGGUUAAUAUUCCCGUACUCUGUAUAAUUGUGAUGGGGCGACGGAGUGAUGAAAGCACCGCGUACUGACGGAAUAGUACGUUGAAGGGCGUAGGUUAUGAGAUGUGUAGGCAAAUCCGCACGUUGAGCUGAAACCUGAUAGUACCAAGCGCCUUCGGGCAAUUGGAUAGUGUGCCUAAGGGCUUCCAAGAAAAACCUCUAAACGUAGAUUAUACAGACCCGUACCUCAAACCGACACAGGUAGUCAAGGAGAGAAUCCUAAGGCGCUCGAGUGAUUCAUGGCUAAGGAACUAGGCAAAAUCGAUCCGUAACUUCGGGAGAAGGAUCGCUCCUCGCAAGGGGAGCCGCAGUGAAAAGGCCCAGGCGACUGUUUAUCAAAAACACAUGGCUUUGCAAAAACGAAAGUUGAAGUAUAAGGCCUGACACCUGCCCGGUGCCGGAAGGUUAAGAGGAGAUGUUAGCUUCGGCGAAGCAUUGAAUUGAAGCCCUGGUAAACGGCGGCCGUAACUAUAACGGUCCUAAGGUAGCGAAAUUCCUUGUCGGGUAAGUUCCGACCUGCACGAAUGGUGUAACGAUCUGGGUGCUGUCUCAGCUGUAGACUCGGUGAAAUUAAA
rnacentral:rRNA from 1 species